UGGGUGGUGGUCGCGGCGGGAGGCCUUCUUCUUCGUCAGAUCUGAAGGUAUGACUCCUCCACCUUUCUAGCUCACUCCUCCUCCCCCAUACAUGGUGUCCGUCGGCCUUGGCUGCCGGCGCGCUGGCUGGGGAGAUGCUGGUGGCACGGAUUUGGGUCCGGGGGAAACCCUAGGCCGGCUGGUCCGGCCUCGGCGGCGGCGACGCCCAAGGGCGCCGCUUUCCAUCCUUGGAGGCGCCGCUGAGGACCCUCCCUGUCCACCCCCUACCUUGCUCCCGAGCGAAAGCUCAAAAUCCUCUCCGGAUUGGGCGGUGGCGUCGCCGUUCGCGUCGUGCUCUCCUUGGAGACGCCGCCUGGGGAUGCUGAAGGUUUGGGUGAGUGUUGCCUUGGUGUGGAGGCGUCUGGCAGCUGCUUUGUCCUCUCUACAGUGGCCAGCGAUGUCAUGAUUUGCAGAUCCGGCGCCCCCUUUGAUGGUUUCUCUCCGGUGUGGCUGUUGCCGUGUUGUUGAGUACCCGAAUCUUCUCUGCGGCGUUCGAUUUUGCGCUCGUGAUGCUCGCUGUUGUGGCUUGGCUCAGUGCUGUUUCAUCCUCUUCGAUUGCCCCAUGUGGCUUUCCCUCUUUGCUGAUUGUCCGUGGGCGGCGACCUUGUAGCUGGCGUGGUGUGCUUUUGGCUACGUGCAGGUCAGGAGGCGUGCUCUAGACGAGUGGUCGUGAAGCUGGCUCCUAUCCAAGCUCUCGGGUGAGCAUCUCUCUUGCCGACGAGGGUAGGGGCCCUUUUCGGCAUCUGAGGAGAUAGGAGUUGUCCCUUCUCCGCCCGAUGCUCCAGACACAAUCUUGGUCCUUCUCUUAGCAGACGGCUGAUCCAUUGCAAUCUACUAUGUUCGGGUGUCCUUGGCCCUUAGUGUAGUGGGCAGAGACACUAGCAAGCUGUGCUCUUUUUUCCUAUUUUGUGCUUGUUAGUGAGUGUUGCGUUGUAAGCUGCUCCAUCAGCCCCUUGUAUCCUUUACGUCUUUGUUAGCUCUGUUGGUUCUUUGUAACGCCUGGUCGGUUGAUGGCUUUGUUAAUUCAAAGCCGGGCUCUUCUUGAGCCUUCGUUCCAAAAAAAAUU
rnacentral:lncRNA from 1 species